rnacentral:rRNA from 1 species
GAAUUCGAUUCAGGCCUAACACAUGCAAGUCGAACGAUGAAGCUGGAGAAAGCUCUAGCGGAUUAGUGGCGAACGGGUGAGUAACACGUGAGCAAUCUGCCCUUGACUCCGGGAUAACUGCGGGAAACUGUAGCUAAUACCGGAUACGAGGCUUAGAGGCAUCUCUGAGUCUGGAAAGAAUUUCGGUCAAGGAUGAGCUCGCGGCCUAUCAGCUAGUUGGUGAGGUAAUGGCUCACCAAGGCGACGACGGGUAGCCGGCCUGAGAGGGUGGGGGGCCACACUGGGACUGAGACACGGCCCAGACUCCUACGGGAGGCAGCAGUGGGGAAUAUUGC